rnacentral:rRNA from 1 species
CAGGCUUAACACAUGCAAGUCGAGGGGCAGCAUUUCAGUUUGCUUGCAAACUGGAGAUGGCGACCGGCGCACGGGUGAGUAACACGUAUCCAACCUGCCGAUAACUCGGGGAUAGCCUUUCGAAAGAAAGAUUAAUACCCGAUGGUAUAAUCAGACCGCAUGGUCUUGUUAUUAAAGAAUUUCGGUUAUCGAUGGGGAUGCGUUCCAUUAGGCAGUUGGUGAGGUAACGGCUCACCAAACCUUCGAUGGAUAGGGGUUCUGAGAGGAAGGUCCCCCACAUUGGAACUGAGACACGGUCCAAACUCCUACGGGAGGCAGCAGUGAGGAAUAUUGGUCAAUGGGCGCAGGCCUGAACCAGCCAAGUAGCGUGAAGGAUGACUGCCCUAUGGGUUGUAAACUUCUUUUAUAUGGGAAUAAAGUUUUCCACGUGUGGAAUUUUGUAUGUACCAUAUGAAUAAGGAUCGGCUAACUCCGUGCCAGCAGCCGCGGUAAUACGGAGGAUCCGAGCGUUAUCCGGAUUUAUUGGGUUUAAAGGGAGCGUAGGUGGACAGUUAAGUCAGUUGUGAAAGUUUGCGGCUCAACCGUAAAAUUGCAGUUGAUACUGGCUGUCUUGAGUACAGUAGAGGUGGGCGGAAUUCGUGGUGUAGCGGUGAAAUGCUUAGAUAUCACGAAGAACUCCGAUUGCGAAGGCAGCUCACUGGACUGCAACUGACACUGAUGCUCGAAAGUGUGGGUAUCAAACAGGAUUAGAUACCCUGGUAGUCCACACAGUAAACGAUGAAUACUCGCUGUUUGCGAUAUACAGUAAGCGGCCAAGCGAAAGCAUUAAGUAUUCCACCUGGGGAGUACGCCGGCAACGGUGAAAUCCAAAGGAAAUUGACGGGGGCCCGCACAAGCGGAGGAACAUGUGGUUUUAAUUUGAUGAUACGCGAGGAACCUUACCCGGGCUUAAAUUUCAUUUGAAUAUAUUGGAAACAGUAUAGCCGUAAGGCAAAUGUGAAGGUGGUGCAUGGUUGUCGUCAGCUCGUGCCGUGAGGUGUCGGCUUAAGUGCCAUAACGAGCGCAACCCUUAUCUUUAGUUACUAACAGGUCAUGCUGAGGACUCUAGAGAGACUGCCGUCGUAAGAUGUGAGGAAGGUGGGGAUGACGUCAAAUCAGCACGGCCCUUACGUCCGGGGCUACACACGUGUUACAAUGGGGGGUACAGAAGGCAGCUACCUGGUGACAGGAUGCUAAUCCCAAAAGCCUCUCUCAGUUCGGAUUGGAGUCUGCAACCCGACUCCAUGAAGCUGGAUUCGCUAGUAAUCGCGCAUCAGCCACGGCGCGGUGAAUACGUUCCCGGGCCUUGUACACACCGCCCGUCAAGCCAUGAAAGCCGGGGGUACCUGAAGUGCGUAAAAGCAAGGAGCGCCCUAGGGUAAAACUGGU